rnacentral:misc_RNA from 1 species
GUGAAUCAUCAAAUUUUUGAACGCAAAUUGCACUCUCUGGUAUUCCGGAGAGUAUGCCUGUUUGAGGGUCAGUUUAAAUAAAAAUCGGAGUGGUUGCUGCCUUUCGUGGUGACGCCUCUGAUGAGGGUCGGCUUGGCUUCGGUCAAGUGACCUAAAAUUUUGUAUGGUUUUUUUCGAACGCAUUUAAAUGAUGUUACGUACGUUUGCGAUAUGGAAUACUAGGUGUGGUCAUCCUCAUGAUUCGCGCCUAUAAUUUUUCAUCAAAAUGAUCUCAAAUCAGGUAAGAGGACCCGCUGAACUU